UACGAAGGGGGCUAGCGUUGCUCGGAAUCACUGGGCGUAAAGCGCACGUAGGCGGAUUGUUAAGUCAGGGGUGAAAUCCUGGAGCUCAACUCCAGAACUGCCUUUGAUACUGGCGAUCUUGAGUCCGGGAGAGGUGAGUGGAACUGCGAGUGUAGAGGUGAAAUUCGUAGAUAUUCGCAAGAACACCAGUGGCGAAGGCGGCUCACUGGCCCGGUACUGACGCUGAGGUGCGAAAGCCAGGGGAGCAAAGCGGG
rnacentral:rRNA from 1 species